CGACCUUACUUGAACAGGAUCUGUUCUAUAGGUUCGUACCUCUGUAUCCUUAAGUUCUAAGGAGACAGGAACUGAAAUCUGGUGGAUGAUCUAUGACUCUGUGAUCAGAGCGUGAUUAACGGCUAGAUGAACUUCUCCUCGGAUUAGUGAAAUCUCCAGCUGUAGAGGAUCGUUCCUGGUCAGCAGUGGCUUAGGAUGGUCACAGAGUUGUCUGACAGAUUCUCUAAAGUAAUUUUAAUUUUUUGGAAAAUUCAGAUUCUCUUAAAAUAUUACUCUUGUUUUUGUAUGUUAUUAAAAACACAUUGCAAAAAUAUGAGAUCUACAUAAAUUAUUUAUGUAUUUCAUUGUAAAAUUAGAUAAAAAAAAAUAUUAAUAAAGUUUACUUGUGCUAAGUUUUUAAAAAGAGGUACAUUAAGUUUAGAAAGAAUUGACACAAAAAAUAUUAAACUAAAUAAUAUUAAGAAUAAAGAAAAAAUAUAAAUUAAAAUAUAUAAUAAAAAUAUAAUGUAUUAUGAUCUAAAUUAAAAAAAGAAAUCACUUGUCUUUAUCUAAAUUUGGUCAGUUAUCCUAAAACCUAAUUUAAUAUUAAAUUGAAAAAAUACAAUGGAAAAUGCUUUGUAGUGAUUAUGUCAGACGAAUGAAGCAAUGCUAAAAACUGAUGGAGGAGACUUCCAUUGAUUUUGACAGACGAUUUGAUUACGGAUAAAAUAUAUUUUAAUACACGUUUUAAACUCAUUGUUUUGUUAUUAAUAUGUGAUUCAACAUGGUGUUCUUUAUUUAGUAAUUCUUUUAAAAUAAUUAUUAUUUAAUUAACCUUUGAAAUAACUUUUUUAAAAUAAACAAGUAUUUCUUUAGAUUUUAUCAGCACCAGACUGUAUUAAUAAGGGGCCAUGAUUUUGUUUUUAGUAGUUUUUUUAAUAGAAUUAUUUAUUAAGUCGUGUUAUGCAAAUUGAUAAAGAAUAUUAAAAAACUUUACUCAUUAUAUAUCUUAGUUCAUCAUUUUUUAGUAUUAACAGUGUUUUUUAAGACUCUUUUUUAAUAAAUUGUUACGAAAAUGAUGUACUUUCUGUCAUUUAUUUUGGCUAGAUUAGAAGCGAAGUCAGCGUAGGAAUAGAUGAUUACUAAAAUGAGAUAUUGAUUACCACAAAGUAAAAAAAGAAAAAAAAAAAAAAAAAGUAAAAAAUCAAGAGCCGAUAAAAUCACCGGUGUGUGCUGGUAACCUUCGAACACAACACAUGGAAGUGACUCUGACGAGCUUGCUUCAUCACCGCUGUGCAUGAUCACUAAGUGGAAGGUGUUCCAUCUUCCAUUUUCGCAGACAAAUUAAGAAAAAUUAUAUUUUUUCACCUUUUCUUUGGCGUCUGAAACUGUUUUCCUUUCAUGGGUGAAUCCACCAUUCCUCAUUUUCAGCAUCUAAUGGCGAAAAAAUUGCUCUUUUUGUUGACCCUUUUGGAAAUACUCCUCUGUGGGCAAUCCAAGUUUAUGGUGUACAAUACAUCACAGGGUAUAGUCCCUGACAAGCUCAAUGUUCAUCUGGUAGCUCAUACUCAUGACGAUGUUGGUUGGUUGAAGACCGUUGAUCAGUACUAUGUUGGUUCUAACAAUUCAAUUCAGGUGUUUAUUUAAUUCUCUUUCUUUGGCUAAACUUGUGAACAAUGGUGUCUGAAGAUUGCAAGUUGAGGGUCUUGUUUGCUAUGUUGCAAUGUGCAGGGCGCUUGUGUGCAGAAUGUGUUGGACUCUAUGGUGCACGCGCUGUUGGCUGACAAGAACAGAAAGUUUAUCUAUGUUGAGAUGGUAAGUUGGCUUCUUUUGAGUCCCUUAUAUGUUGUUUUCUUGAGUUUCUUUGUUGGAUCAAAGUGCUACUGCUCGUGACAAGAGGAAAUUUUGAAGUUGCUUUUUUGGGCUAAAAGUAGUGCUGUGAUGUUCCAAGACACAAUCCGGCAAAGCAUUUCAUUUCCUUUAUGUAGUUCAUGCCUUCCUCUGCAACUUUUUGUACCAAAUUCAUGAUUUAUAUUUCACAUCCUUCUUGUGGCAACAGAUUAAUGUUGCUCCUACAACAAGUUUGAAUUACCUAGACUGUUAAUGCUCGUGACAUUGACAAAUAGGAAUACUAAGAAAAUGAGGAAAACUAUGUUUUUGAAAAUAUGGACUACUUUUAAGGCUUUCUUUAAAUGCUAGUGUGAAAUAUUCUCUCUUGGGAUCAACUCGGUGCGGCUGUGUGAUAGGAUUAACUAGCUAAUGAAAUUGAUGGAUAGGAAUAUCGAGAAAAUUUGACGAUUUGUCUAACACCAAGGCGUCAACUCCAUAUAUAUUUAAAUUCCUUCUACAUUUCCUGUUUUUGUUCCUACCCUGUCAAUGUUUAUAUGCUUGAACGUAGCAUGCAACUAUAUGUUCAUUUUACGUGUUGGCUGUUUCUUCUUAAUUCUUUCACUUUCGUCAAUGCAGGCAUUUUUCAAGAGAUGGUGGAGAGAUCAAAGUGAAGCUGUUCAGGAUGUUGUUAAGAAACUUGUUAGUUCGGGUCAACUAGAGUUCAUGUAAGUACCUUUCUGACUACAGAUUUCAAUGCAAUUAACAACAAAGUCAUUCUUCAAUUGUGAAAUGAAAGCCAUCCUUCACUGUGAAAACAAACUGAUUAAGAAUUCCUUUGUGAGGGUUCCAAUAUCUAUGGGCAAUUAUCUCUCCAUUAUGGUAUUCUUCAAUCGUCUUUUAUUUAGGGAAUGAUGCUAUUUCUUUCCUUUAUUUUCUCCUUGUUACAGAAAUGGCGCCAUGUCUAUGCAUGAUGAAGCAGUUACACAUUACAUAGACAUGAUUGAUCAGACUGCACUUGGUCAUCAAUUUCUGAAAGAGGAAUUUGGUGUGACUCCUAGAAUUGGUUGGCAAAUUGAUCCUUUUGGACACUCUGCUGUGCAGGCCUACCUGUUGGGAGCUGAAGUAUGGCAUAGAUCUUCAAACAAUGAAUCUUAUCAUGACUCUCAAAUUUAGAAAGAAUAUGUUUCUCUUGUAUUUCAAUAAUGAGGGCAAUGGACCUAUAAAUACACAAGCUUGGUAGUUAUUUUGGGAAAUAUAGAUAGCUAAUUCUAAGGAAACAAAUCCCUAUAACUAUGGGAUUGUUUUUAAAUACAUAAUCCUAGCAUUAAUACCAAGAUACACAUGCAAUAAAGAAUAAAAUUAUAGCAGGAAUGUUAUAAACACUUUCUAAAAUACAUAAUGAGCAAAGCAUGAUUUUGAUAAUGACUAAUGAAUAUAUUUUGAAGAAGAUAUAUGUCAAAAGCAUUAUUUGCUAUGUGGGUUAUCAAUUGGUUCUAAUUUGUAUGCAGGUUGGCUUUGACUCACUUUUCUUUGGUCGGAUAGACUACCAAGAUAGGGCUAACCGCAAAAAGGAGAAGAGUCUUGAGGUUAUCUGGCAGGGUAGUAAGAGCCUUGGCUCUUCAGCCCAGGUGAAUAUCAAGAAAUAUGUUUCUUUUCUCUUUAAAUAUUUUAUGGUUGUCUUUGUUAGAGAUCCUACAUUGACUAGGAAUAAUUUUGUGAGGUUGAAUUAGACAUAAGUUUACUUACCAAGAGUCUUUGUAUUUUUAUGAUUGGUUUCUCUUAAAUUAAAUGUUUCCUUUUAUUAUGUUGAGUAUCCUUUUUGUUCUUGCAGAUUUUUGCUGGAGCAUUCCCUGAAAAUUAUGAGCCACCUGCUGGAUUUUACUUUGAAGUUAAUGAUAACUCACCGAUAGUUCAAGUAAUAUUAUAAGAACUUGUUAAUUUUGUUAUCACAUAUAACUAUUUUAGUUCAUUGUUAUGCUAAACUUUGCUUACUUCUUCCUGAAGGAUAACAUGGAAUUGUUUGAUUACAAUGUCCAAGAACGAGUGAAUGACUUUGUUGCAGCUGCAUUAUCGCAAGUAAGUUCAGCAUGUUUAUCUUCAGAUUUCUUAAAAAUGUUAUUUGAAUUUUGAGAUGCAAGAAUAUCAUUAGAAAUUAAAAAUUGAAUUGAGUGAUUGAGAGGUGUUGGGUCUUUCGAGGAGAAUUCACCAAGGAGAUUCAAUGAGCCAAACUCGCGUAAGAUAUUAAUGUAAGUGUUAGAAGUCCCACAUCGACUAGAGAUAAAGUCAAUUUAAAGUAUAUAAAUGGGUGUAAACCUUAUUUUACAAAUUGGUUUUGUAGGACUGGGUUAAAGUCCACCACUUAACAUGUUGGCUCAAGUCAUCUCCCAAUGAAUUUGAUUUAUUAUUUCACUUAAAAUAGUACCAUCUUUUCUUUUCCAUCUUUAAGAACUCUUCUCCAAGCUUAUGAUCUUAGCUUCUCUUAACCACUGAAAAAAUCUCCAAUUCAGCCAUGCUUGCAUUGUCUAUAGGGCAUUAGAUGAUUCAGAAUUGUAUCAUCUAUAGAAAGAUGACUUAUGAGAUUGCUUUCAUUUCAACUACACAAAGCACACAUUAGAACAUUUAGGAAACAUCUAUCCAAUUAUAUAAUGUUAAAUGUAAUUAGCUGUUACAGAUUUGUAGGAAAUUAACAGUUACAUGUUUUAGGAAAUUAGGAUGAUUGAUUCCUGAUUAUUAAGAGUUAUAUAAUUGAUUUUAUAAAUUAGUAUAAAUACAUACUGUGUGGUCUGCAUUACACACACAAUAUAUUUAGUAAAUAUAUCAUUCUAUAUGGUACAUAGUUUAGGGUUUCAAUCUUUGAUCUCCAGUUUUCUAUUUUUUCGGGUGAACAAUACUCGCAGCCACUGUGUGUCACUUUUUCCGUCACCUAAUGUCCCUUCAUUUUGGUGACCACUGCAACCAGAACUGCCUUCCUCCGGUUUAAAGUACAUAUUAUCACAAUUGACCACCACACUUCAUUUGCUGCUUCUGUCCACUUCUGCACCCGCCCAUACGUGUGACCUCUUUCCAGAGCAUACAUUUCACACGCCCAUCUCAGAUUUUUUUUUUCUUUUUUUUUUCAUUUCGACACAUUAUCCAAUUAUAUAACAUUCAGGAAACAUCUAUCCAAUUAUAUAACAUCAUCAACACUCAUGUCAGACAUGAUUUAUCAAGUCAUCUAGGCAAAUUCUAUAGACUAGACUCUCUAAUUAAACUUAUCUAACUAGAUCAUAUAGUGCCUUUCCUCUACCUAGAACACCUAUCAUCUAACAUGGUUUAAAAAGAUGAUUUUAAUGCAUAAUUUGAUUUAAAGUUCAUAUUAUCACAAUUGAUCAAAUCCCAGUUAAAACAAUGGAUUUUUAAACUCAAUUAUAGCUCAAGAUAGCUAUAAUUAAGUAUUCUAAAAGCAGGAAAACAAAUCUUUAGUGAUGUAAAAAAUCAUUACUGUCAUGGGGACAAUGACCAGGCUUACUAUCCAUGACAAAAUACUUACGAACACAAAACUCAGACACAUUAGAUUUUGUAGUAUAAUUGCAUAAAUUACCAAUCAGAAUAAAUUUUUUUAUUUUUAUGUCUUGAUUAAGGCAUAUGUUUACUAUCUAGCUGAAUAAGAUUUCUCCUAUACAAAUCGAAUCAACAACCAAAAAAUUGAAUGACUAGCCUUACCAACUUGUUCCAAUUUCCAUAAUUGGUUUUUGUUGUGGAAUAACUCAAAACAAUUUCGCUGCAUAAGCGUCUACCAUACAAUAACAUGAUAUUAGAUAAACUGCAAAAUAAACAAUUAGAAGGUAAAAAAAGGAAGAAUAAGGAAAAAUCACAAUAGAAAAUAAGGUGGUUAAAUUGAAGUGCUAAAAAUUACAGCUUGAAGUUUCUCUCUAAGUGAAGUUGAACAACAACUUUCAAUUGAAAAAAUUGUUGAUAUAUCUUCCUAUUUAUGCAGCAUAACUACCUUAAUAACUUCCAUAAAUCACACCUAAACAAGCCAAGAAAAAUAUGUGAACAUUGCUUUCACUACUGAGUUUGAAACGUCACUUAUGUAGACUCUUUAGAUGAUACGAGUCAAAGAGGAAGUUAAAGUCCGGAUGCAAGUAGACAAUCUGAUGUCAUCAAAUGCUUUUAUAAAAGACAAAAGCACUGAUGAAGAUGUCCUGAUGAAGUCAGACUCACUUGAACCAUUAGAUGAUCUGGAAGAGUUAGACGAACUAGGAACCUUAAAAGGGUUUUACCGAGUCAGUCCUCAAAGUUUUCAAAAGGAAUAAAUUAAACUGUAAACAAGAACUCAACCAUGACCUUAAAUUUAAAGCAAAUGGAAAAAACAGAAAAAGAUAAUAUUAGUAUGUAAUAAUCUAUCAGAUUUUCUUAUAGUUGGCGCUUUUAAAAGAUGUUUCCAACCUUCUUUAAUGGAAAUCCAUUUCAACCAAACUGACAUGUUCUUAACUUGAAGCUUGAAUAUGAAUUUUAAUUUUGCUAUUGAGUUUUUGGAAUAGCGGGAACCUUGAUUGCUUUUAUUUACGCUAUUUUAUUUUUAGGCAAACAUAACUCGAACAAAUCAUAUCAUGUGGACAAUGGGAACUGAUUUUAAGUAUCAAUAUGCACAUACAUGGUUCCGGCAGCUGGACAAACUCAUUCAUUAUGUAAACAAGGUAACUCACUCGUAUACAUGAAUUUAUUUGUUUGUGGUUUGACUUCAUGUCUUUAUUCUUGUUAUUAUGAAUUCUGAUUGUUAAAUAUUUUUCAACUUUAGGAUGGACGUGUUAAUGCUCUGUACUCUACGCCAUCCAUAUAUACUGAUUCAAAAUUUGCUACCAAUGAGUACUGGCCAAUCAAGACUGAUGAUUUCUUCCCGUGAGUUUAAUAUGUAGCUGUUUCAUAAUCCAUUUUGCUUAAUUAUUAUAUUUUUGUAUGGUAUGACGUUUCUCCUCAUAUACCCAUGAACAAAAUACCAGUUAUGCAGAUCGUGCAAAUGGUUACUGGACAGGAUACUUUACCAGUAGACCAGCAAUCAAACGCUAUGUCAGAUUAAUGAGUGGCUACUACUUGGUAUGAUUUGUAUAUUUAUAGUUUACAAGGUAAUAAUCAUCUUUAGUCCACUAGUUUUUGGAUAUUUACUUUCUACAAAAAAAUUAUUAGGCUGCAAGACAACUAGAAUUUUUUAGGGGGAGAAGGAAUUCAGGGCCAAAUACAGACUCGUUAGCUGAUGCUUUAGCAAUUGCUCAACACCACGAUGCAGUCACUGGCACAGAAAAGCAGCAUGUUGCCAAUGAUUAUUCUAAACGGUUGGCAAUAGGCUACAAGGAGGUGCAGUUUCAGAGUCUGUUUCAAGUUACUCUGUAUAACCAUUUGUUAGUGAAUCGUCUAGUGGCAUAUUGUUUUUUUGCAGGCAGAGGAAUUGGUUUCAUCCUCACUGGCCAGCUUGGUUGAAUCACCAUUGCAUUCUAGAUGUCAAAACCCAGUUACAAAGUUUCAACAAGUAAAAGAUCUAGAAUCUUUUUAAGUUUGUUCACUAUUUGUAUUAUUUGCUGAAAUGGCUUGCUUCUUCCUUGUCUUAAUUUUUUUUUUUUCAAAAUUUUAGCUGUUGAUAAAUGAUUUCUUAUCCUUUAUUAUUUCUUAGCUCAAUUACCGUUUGGUGUAUGUCAUGUCAAACCUGAUUUUGUUUUAGCUGUUGAUAAAUGAGCUUUGUGCCUUCCCCUUUAUCACAAAAAAGAUUAUAAUAACUAUUAGAUAUGAUAGUUUUUUAUUAUCAUAUUUAAGUUCGAGUUUUUUAUAUUUUCAAUAUACUUUUUCCUUUUUCAUAUUUUACAGUGUCCACUUUUGAACAUAAGUUAUUGUCCUGCAUCAGAAGUUGAUCUGGUUCGAGGGAAGAAUUUGGUAAAAUUCAUCACAUAUUUUGUUAUCCUUUCAUCAGUUAUAUUGUUUUAUAUUUAUUUCUUAAAUUCUAUCUUCUCACGAGUUUUUUCCAUGCUUAGGUCAUUGUGGUUUACAACUCUCUUGGUUGGAGGAGGAAUGAAGUCAUUCGAUUUCCAGUGAGUGAUGUCACUCUAGUAUUUGUUGAUUGUUCUAAAUUCAGUGUAUGGUGGAACAUAGAGAAGUUAAAACUAAAACGAUGAAAAUAAUCAUAAUCUUUAUCUUUUUUGCUCAUCUAGUGGUCUUCAAUCAUGAAAUAUUAAUGUAUCUUCAAUAUGUUAGAAAGUUCUUGGAGAAACUGAUAUGAUAUUUUAUUAUUUUUAUCUGUGUGAAGCUGAAUACAAAAGGGAGCAUUUAUAAUGGCUACCCUUGAUAGCAAAAACCCAAAAUGCCCAAAACAAACUCACCAAAUUUAUAUUUAUUUAGUCUAUUGCAUCCUAAUAAAAGUCAGAUGUAAAAUACACCAACUGACUAUGUUAGUUAUCAAAUGAGCUGACAUAAUCAGUUACCAACUAAGCGUGUAUGUUGGGAAGUCUGAUAUCCGCUGCCUCAAUUCUUGGAGUGAAGCAUAUAUAACUAUUAGAAAACUUCAAUUGAUAAAAAUUAGUUUUAAGUUGAAAUUUGACAUGGUAUCAAAGCUUAUUGAUAACAAUUAGUUUUGAUAGGCUGCCAUGGUUUGACAAGCAUCUAUAGAGGGGUGAUGUUGAGAAUGUCCAACAUUGUCUGUCCCAAUUCUUGGAGUAUGGUUUAUAUAUGUAUUGGGAAAGUUCGCAUAAUCCAAAUUGGUUUUAAGUUGAAUCUGCCAAUAUAUAGCUAACAAAGCCUGCUGGUACACUUGGCUACUAACUUCCUAAUAGAUUUUUAUUUAGGGCAGCUAUUAUGAUGUUAAAGGUUUUUGAGAUUGAUGUUUUAAUGCACUUAAAUAUAUAUAAUAUUUGCUUAAAUGGGCUAGUAAAUUUCUCUUUAACUAUUGUAGUACUUACUCGUGUGUGUGUAGAUGUAACUAAUGUUGCGACCAUCUUCAGGUUACUGAGGCCAAUGUUAGAGUUCAGGACUCUAACGGUUCAGAAAUAGAAUCCCAACUUCUUCCUCUGGCUGAGAAAUAUUUAGACUUAAGAAACUACUAUGCGAAAGCAUAUAUGGGUCAGGAUCCACUUAAGACACCUAAGUAUUGGCUUGCAUUUACAGUUUCUGUACCUCCACUUGGUUUUAGCACCUACACUGUCUCGACUGCAAAAAGAACAGGUUCAAAUAUAUAUUGCUUUAGUAUUUAAUUUACAAGAGUUAAUUUCCAUGCUCAUAACAAAGAAAUGAUUUCUAUUUGAUUUCAGGAUCAACUAGAUCGUCAGUAGCGACAUAUAAAAGUAGUGAAAAGUCUAAAUUUGAAGUAGGUCAAGGAAAUUUGAAGCUUACAUUUUCUACUGAUCAAGAGAAGUGUACCAAUUACGUUAAUAGAAGAAACCUGGUUUGUGAUACUUCACUUUGCACCACAUGAUUCCCUUUUCACUAGAACACCUUUAUCUGUGCAAUCAUGCCUCUGUAUUUGUGAUGUUCUCUUUACUGUUUUCAUGUUUUCAUAUAUUCUUUAGCUUCGAAUUUUACAUGGACAGAAAAAUGUAAAAGCAAAAGAAGUAAAACUUGAUUAACAAUGUUAUUUUUUGAAAUGUAAGGUUGAGGAACAGGUUAAACUAAGUUACCUCUACUAUUCUGGAUACAAUGGAACCAAUCAAAAGGAUCCGCAGGUAGAUAAACAUUUUGACCAUAGAUAUCAAUGUCAUACGGGUUCAAUAUGUUUUUUAUCUCUGUAAAUAUAGAAAUGUUCACUUUUAGUACCCAAAAGCUGUCUUCUUUUUUCCCUUUUUUAUUGAAAUAGGGACCAUACAUGACACAUUUCCACAAAGGAGGGACCAAUGAGUGGAUAGUUUUUUCAGGAAUUAAAAGUGAACAUAAUCCUAUUUUCAAAUGAUAAACUAAAAACAUAUUUAUCCCCUUAAGUCUCUCACAAUUCUACUUUGGAUAUAACUUCAUAAUUUAAUUCCCCUCACAGAAUUCCGGGGCCUAUGUCUUCCGUCCAAAUGGCACAUUUCCAAUAAACCAUGAAAAAAAGGUUUGAAGUCCUUCCUGCUAUAUUCUAAUCCAACAAACGAAUUCCCAUAACAAGUGUCACAUUCGAUUGAAUUUUCAGGCUCUAUUAACUGUUUUGAAUGGACCGGUACUAGAUGAAGUUCAUCAACAAAUCAAUCCAUGGAUAUAUCAGGUGUUUUGCUUGUUACAUCUUUAACAGCAUCUUCAUAUUGUUUUCUUAUUAAUAAUAAUAAACUUCUUUCCCAUUUAGUUACAUGAAAUUGUGGUCACAUAAUAAUUUAAAUAAAAUGUGGUGUGUAAAAAGGAAGACGGGAACUGCAUGUUAACUUCUUGACAAUCUUAAUAUGAUAGUUUUUAAUUAUUUAUAUAGACAAUACAAUUGAUUUUAUUAUAGUUUUUCCUCUAUAUGAUAAUUAUGGCUUCACCUUACUUUCAAAAUUUUAGGUGCAACAGGUCUUAAUAUUUUACAUUAUGCAAUUUACUUUAAUGUUCUUUUACUUUAAGUAAACAAAAAGAGUAAAUAAAGCUUAGGGAAUGCCCUUAGUGCCAUCCUGGUAAUUUAUUUUGCAGUCUCAAGUGUUGCAAAAUAAUAAAUGAAUUUUGCCAUAAAUAGCCUAGAGACAGUCUUAUCCAUCGGCCCAAACACUUAAUAAAGUAGGUCCCACUUCAUGAAUGAGGGCUAGCGAAGUGGAACCAAUCCCAUUAUCAGUACCUGUUCUACUCCAGUUUCUAUUUGCCCCAGCUCCUAAUUUUUUCUAUAAUUAUAGUAAUAAAUGUUGAUGAAUGAGACUUUUUAUCUUCUUUUUACCUGACAUUAGAAAUUAAUAUGCUUCAAAUAUGUCCGCAGAUUAACAGACUAUACAAAGGAAAAGAGCAUGUUGAAGUGGAGUUUAUCGUAAGCUUUAAAUAAUUGGUUAUUAUAUUUACAUUUGUGUCAUUCUCCUAGUCAUGUUACAAUUUGUCUGUGACAGUUUGAUUUCCUUUGUAGUCUGGUAAAUACCGUGAUAACUAUUGAGAUAUAUUCUUAUAUGGAUUUUAUGGAUAAUGUUGGAAUAUCAGGUUGGCCCUAUACCAAUUGAAGAUGGAACUGGUAAAGAAGUUGCCACUCAGAUUUCAACUACUAUGGAAACCAACAAAACAUUUUACACGGAUUCUAACGGGCGAGAUUUUAUCAAAAGGGUAUGCAGAUCAGACUAAUGUUCCUUGUAAUACUACAUCUAAGUAAUUUAGAUCAUACAUAAUUGUUGGCACCAGAUGUUACCUUGCUUAAGUUUUCAUUAUAUUCUUUUGUUGAAAUUCUUUGGUUUAAGGUAUAGAGAGAGGGAAUGGAGAAAACGAAGAUUGAUACUAAUAAUCCGAAUUGAAAAAAGAAUCAGAUCAUAAAAUACUAAAGCGUGGAAACUUAGAAAAUAAAGAGUUUGAUACUUAGAGAUAUUUUUAAGAUACUCUAAGGUAUUCUGAAGAUAUAAUAUCGACAAAGAUGACCUUGGUUGUGGGAAUCUAAGAGAAGAAACAAGGGAGUCUAUCAGGCAAUAAAAUAACUGAUUGUGUUAUUUCUAAAACUGAUAUUGACUUGAUGUGAUAUGUUUGCAGAUACUCAAAUAUUCUGAAAGAUGUAAUAUUGAUAUUCUAAGAUAUUCCAACAUCUUUCUAUUUCCAAAUGCUGGGUUUUGUUGCAAAAUAUAAUUCUCUCAUGGAAGUCAAGAAAUGGAAACAACAUAUCUUUUUAUUUGAUCUUAAAUUUGUUGAUGGCAUAUAGAAGUAUCUGCAAAAAGUUUUCAUUUCUUUUCCUUCAGUUGUAAAGUAAAUUUUUGGAACUCAUCUCUCUGCAGAUACGGGAUUACAGAACUGACUGGGAUCUGGAAGUGAACCAACCCGCUGCUGGAAAUUACUAUCCUGUAUGUGAACUCCUAUACAACAUUUCUGUUAUAUUCAUCAUUGGUGUUCAAGGCCUAGUUUCCCCCUCUUUCCUGCAGGGAUGCUAUUGCUGAAACUGUUGUGCUUGCAAACUGUUGUUUGUUCUUGUAUGAUAAAUUAUGAAACUUCUAAUAAUAAACUUCAUUUUUUUAACUUAUUUAGCUUAUUGAAAUCAUUAUUUCAUGAGCUUUGUAAGUCAUCCACAUGCAAAUCCAUUUUAGAAUUAAUUGCAGAGAUGUAUGCCCAACCACACUUCAUAAUUCAGACUGUUUUCUUUAAGGCACAGGAGUUUGAUAAAUUCCACAAGUUAUAUCCAUUCUUUAGGUUCUUAAUAUUAUUUAUUUUUAUCCUUCAGAUUAAUCUUGGGAUAUACGUAGAGGAUAAUAAAACAGAAUUCUCAGUUUUGGUGGACCGACCUAUUGGAGGAUCCAGCUUACAAGAUGGACAAAUAGAGCUGAUGGUCCACAGGUAUGUUUUGUUCUUCAAAUGAUGUGUUAAAUAGAAUGAUAUUCUACUGGAGUUACUUGAAAUUAUAAUUAAACUACUCCUAUUUAGAACUUUGCAAGGCCUUGUUUCUUGGAAAUGUGGUCUUUUUCCAUCUAUGGUAAAGUGUGUGAGCAUAUAGAAGGGAGCAAAGCUUUUAAUAAUUAAAAUGUUUUGGAAGAAAGGAGGGGAAGAUUUCUUAGAUGUACAAUUUAGUUAGUGAUUUGGUGCUUUAGUGAAGCAGAAUGCAACGUUUUUUAGAUAACUUAUCUGCUUCAGCUUUUGAAGUGUGGGCAUGUUGGCUGUGUCUUCAUCAUUUAAGAGGUGGGGAUGAAUUGCUUAAUUCAGCAUCACGAUCUCCAUUUUCUCACACUAGAGUUUGGAUUGCUUCUUUCGGAGUGAUAGGAUUAACCCGUGAGUCAAAAUUGGACAUUUUGGACAUCUGAGAUCUGACACGACUUUUUGUGCUCUAAAGUUUUCACAAGAGCUGUGAAAAGUAUUUUUUUGGUGUUAAAAUCUAUAAUUUUCUGUCAUUUAUGUCAUUUUUUUCUUAUGGAAUAAAUGUUGUUAUUCUUACUAGUUUGACCUUGCCAUCAAUAAUUGUUUACUUAUAUUUUUAAUUGGUGAAUUACAUUUCUUAUUAACGUACUACAUAGUUUGUUAGGUUUUCUUCAAUACUUCUUUUUGAAAAAAAAAAUGCUAUUAAAUUUAUUGGUAUUUAUAAAGGAAAUGUGCAAUUGAUUUAAAGUAUUUGGCAUUUUGAUGAACAAAAAAACAUCUGUCAUGGUGUGUUGUUUUUAAAUUUUGAAGUUUUCAUGAAUUCCAACCGUACCUGUCUAAUGUAUUGGUGACUUAGUGGGUGAGGAGGGUCUACUUAGCGGGGAAUAUGCAAUGGUGAUGGACUUCUUUAGUCAAGAAGUCGAUCAACUCUCUCCUCUCACCACAACACAUACAAACAGAACUGAAUGUACACUGUUUUAUUGAUAUAAUGUGAACUGAAUACAAGAAUUACACCCUUCUAGGAAGCCUCUCUUCCUCCACUGGAACAGAGAUCCAGUCUAUACACAAAUUUACAAAAGAAUAAUCCCCGCCCUUAAGCAAACAGACUCAUAUUUAUAGUAUCACUCCCCCUGCCCCUCUACUAACUAACUUACAACCACUUUUCCCGCUUAGUUCCCUCCUUUCUUCUUUCUUCUCUCAUAUACUUUUAAUCCUCUAACAAAUGGUCAAGAGACCUCUCAUUGCUUUUGAUUGCUUGCCCACUCCCACCCCUUACCAUGCAACCAGCAGCAACCCCUUUUUUUUAAGUCUUGUUUUGAGGGUGUCUAUUUUCACUGUUUGAUUCUGUCAUUGUAUUUUUGUUUAUUUUUAAAGGAUUAACCAAAUUUCUUUCUUCUCAUAAACAGGAGAUUACUACUUGAUGAUUCAAAAGGUGUUGCAGAGGCUCUAAAUGAAACCGAUUGUGUUGGUGGUGAUUGCAGGGGUCUAACUGUAAGAAUUUCAUGCAUAUUUUUUAUGUUAUUUAGUUGUUUGUUUCUUUUAUUAAUGUUAGAUGUGUAUUUUUGAGUAUAUAUUCUCAUUUUAUCAGCUGACAAUUUCUCUCAAAUGGGUCUUAAAAUGCUGAUGGCAGAAAAAGGUUUGACAAAUCAAUGUCAAUCCAAUUGUUGCUAAAGCUGACGAAAAUGUCAAUGCCAUAAUUUUGCAUUUAGUGUCAAAAUCCCAUGACCUGCAUUUAAUAUUUUCUUAUACAAUUUUAAUUGCAUAAUUAAGAGAUUUAAUCACAUUCCAUAGUUAAGAGGAUUAAUAGGCUGACGCUAUAUUUUAUAUCUAUUGUAUAGGAUCAUUGGUCCUGAAUAGUAGGAAUAGAUUAUAUCCAAUAUAACUUAGGAUUUUCUGUUAUUAACCAAUUGCUCCUCAAUGAAUAAUAUGAUAACAGUUUUCUGAUAUGGUAUCAAAGUCACUUAAAGCGUAUCCUAUUCAAGUUCUUUGGGAUUAUUAUGCCACUGUUAUCUUAGACCACUCACAAAUACAUAAUCCUAUGUUCUUUCCUCAUAAUGAGGAUAUGUGUUAAAGAUCCCACAUUGACUAGGAAUAAGGCUGAAUUAUAAUGAGUGGGAUGCAAUUUUACUUUACAUGCUGGUUUUGUGAGGUUGAGUUAAACAUAAAUUUGAUAAAAAUAUGUUUAGGCAAAAAGCUCGUGUAUUGAAGAUAAGGAUAAUUCAUUCUCAACAAAAAGACCUCAUUCUUCCAAAAUUAAGUCCCAUUAACACCUCAUCAUCUAUUGAAACUAAUACUUCACCAUCUACUGAGUCUAGUCAUGUUGCUUCACCAAAAAUAAUUGGAGAAAAAACUCAUUGUUACCCAUCCAUUGUAGGUAUACUCGUGAAGGAGAAGGUCUGUUAUUCAACCACCACUAUUGAAACUAAUACUUCACCAUCUACUGCGUGUAGUCAAUUAUGUUGCUUCACCAAAAAUAACUGGAGAGAAAACUCAUUGUUACCCAUCCACUCUAGGUAUACUCGUGAAGGAGAAGUUCUGUUAUUCAAUCACAAGUCCAUGAAUAUGAAUCUAUGCCUAAAAUACCUGACAUUAAUGAAGAAUAGAAUAUGCUAACCAUUGAAGUUUGGGACAUUCCAAUUGCAGUACGGAAAGGUGUUAGAGGAUGUACUCAGAAGCCAAGGUACCCAUUGUCACACUUUGCGUCCUAUGACAAACUAUCCCGUAGUCACCAAAGCUUUCUUGAUCAUCUAAAUACUGUCACUGUUCCAAAAAUUAUGGAUGAGGCACUCGAUAGUAAUAAUCGAAAAAAUGCUAUGAAGGUUGAAAUGAUUGAUCUAGAAAAGAACAAAACUUGGGAAUUAGUGGAUCUACCUAAAGGAAAAAAUCUUGUCGGAUGUAGGUGGGUAUUCACUAUUAAAUCCAAGGCAGAUGGGACAUUAGAAAGGUAUAAGGCUAGGCUUAUAGCUAAGAGUACUCAAACAUAUGGGAUUUACUAUCUUGAAACUUUUUUACUUGUCGCAAAAAUGAAUAUAGUUAGAAUUUAUUGUCUCUAGCAGCUAACUAUGAAUAACUAUAAAUAGAGUUUGUAACAAUUUGAUGUUACAAAGGCCUUUCUACAUGUCAAUCUUGAGAAAGAACUUUACAUGGAGGUUCCACCUAGGUUUAAAGUCGAGGAGAGAAAGGUGUGUAAACCCUGGAAGGUACUCUAUCUAUUGAAACAAUCUCUUAGAACAUGGUUUCACAGGUUUAUUAUAUUAAUGAAGAUCAUGGGUGGGUACAAGCAAAAGGCAAAGUGACCGUAUAUUGUUUAUUAAGCAUUCAUCUUCAGCGGAAUUACUGCACUAAUUGUGUAUGCAGAUGAUAUAGUUCUAACCGGAAAUGAUCAGGUAGGAAUGGAAGCUUUAAAAAAAUGUUUGAUAACGGAAUUUGAAAUCAAGGAGUUAGGUAGAUUGAAAUAUUUCUUGGGCAUUGAAGUGGCUCAUUCCCAUCAUGGUAUUUUCCUCUCCAAACAAAAAUAUGUGCUGUAUUUAUUGGCUAAAACUGAUAAAUUAGGAUGCAAACUAAUUGAGACACCUAUUUAAUAAAAUCACAAACUUGGUGAAACAAUUGAAGAUGUAGCUGUGGAUAGAAAAUCUAAUCAAAGACUGGUUAGGAAAUGGAUCUACUUGUCUCACACUAGGCCCGACAUUGCCCAUUCUCUAGGAGUUCUAAGUUAGUUCAUUCGUAAUUCAAGAGGAGACUCAUCUCAAAAUUGUUUAUCACAUUCUAUAGUACUUGAAAGAAACUCCUGGAAAGGGGAAUGAGAUGAUCUUAGAAGUCUACACAAAUGCUGGCUAUGCAGGUUCUAUAGAUGAUAGAUGAUCUAUCUCUGGAUAUUGCACUUUGAAGAAAUUUAGUCAAUUGGAGGAGCAAAAGAAAAAAUGUUGUGGCAAGGUCAAGUAGGGUUUAGAGCCAUGGCCUUAGGGAUUUGAUAAAUACUAUGGUUAAAGAUAAUUUUAGAAGACCUGAAUAUUGAUUGGAAGAACCCUGUGAGAUUGUAUUGUGAUAACAAGUUAGGAAUAAAUAUUGCACAUAAUCCAGUGUAACAUGAUAGAACUAGGCAUGUUGAAGUCGAUCAACACUUCAUAAAAGGAGAAAUUGGGUAACACCACAACCAUUUGUAUCCUUUGGAAACCAACUUGUAGAUGUAUUGACAAAAAGGCUAAGUGGUGUUACAUUUCAGUCUAGUGUUGGCAAAUUGAGAAUGAAUGACAUCCACUCACCAACUCGAGGGGGUGUCAGAAUUCUAUGAUUUAUGUUGCAGUUAAUAUUUGCUUAUAAAGUUUUAAUUACAUAAUUAGGAUAUUUAAUUACAUUUCAUAAUUAGGAGGAUUAACAAGCGGAAAGUAUAUUUUAUAUUUUUUGUACAAAUCAUUGAUUCUAAAUUGUAGGAAUAGAUUAUAUUCAUUAUAAAUUAGGAUUUUCAAUUAUUAAGUAUUUGUAUUCUAUCUAGGAGCAAUUUCUCCUCUAUCAAGAAUAUUAGAAACAAUUUUCUAACAUUUAGAAAUGUUUAAUUGAUAUAUAAAUGAGAAAGAAAUUUGUCAAUUUUCAAUUGCUUUCUAAAAAGGAUUUAUUCCCAAUGUUGUCAACAAAUUAUGCCUACCCAAAUUUUUGGCAGUGUGUAGUUUUGGCUGUUAAUGUAUUUGACUGGAGCAGUUUUCCUGCAUUUUGUUUAAUGUCAUUCAUGGAAAAUGUCUGCUGUAUGAUUUAGAUUUUCAUAACUGGUAAUAUGUCACUGACAAUCUAUGUUGUAGGUCCAAGGCAAAUAUUACUACAGAAUAGACCCCUUAGGCGAGGGUGCUAAGUGGCGUCGUACUUUUGGCCAGGAAAUAUAUUCUCCACUUCUUUUAGCCUUUGCUGAAAAGGUAAAAUUGAAUACUGCAAACAAAAUACUUCUUUGUUAGAUAUAUUGCAUUUUAUGUUAAUUAAGUAAACAUAGGCCAUGUUAAUUAUGUUAUUUUUCAUAUUCAUUUGUAUUUGGGCUUAGCUUACAUUUUCAUUAUUAUAAAUACAUUACCUAUGUGUAUUUUCUAUAUAAAGAAGAUUAAUCCUAUACCUAGUUUUACUCUAUUCAACAUGGUAUCUAGAGCCUAAAGCUUUUGAUAGUCAAUAUUUGAAUUUUGAAUUCAUUGGGAGAGGAUUCUCUUGGUCCUUGUCAUAGAACACUUUCUUAUCAAAGGGUGUUGGUGUGGCAAAUCUUCACUGACUUAUCAAUCGGCUAAAUUGUGGGAUCUCCAUCUCAAUCUUAUUUUUGUGUUCUUCUCUUAUUUUCGUUAUUUGUUACGAGAGGAACCAAAUUCAGAAAUGAUUGUACCUUUUUCUAGAUAGGAUCGAAUUAGUUGGGCAGCUAUCAAUUGCAUUGAGCUCGUUUCCUUCUCCUCUUUCAGGAUCUAUGCUUGUUGCCUUGACUAGAAAACCUUGGUUUUCUAGGGUUUUUUCUCUCUCUGUGGUAUCUUUUGCUGCUUCUUCUAAUAGUGCAAACCAAUUUACUCUUUUCAAUUUUUAAAUGAUAUGAGGAUCAUCAGAACACUAGUUUAACUAUUUCUGUUGCACGCACAUCUUAUUUUUUUUGGCCUAACUCAACCUUCUUCCCUUGGACCAUGGGUUCUUGACUUAGGUGCCACAAAUCACAUCACUGGUAACAAAUCUUAGUUUUCUUCUUUAUCCUCUUCCGGGUAAUUUGCCUACGAUUACAAAUGGGUCUAGGGUCUUAUCUCAUGUUGGUACUAUUAAUCUUUUUCCAUCUUUAACCAUUGAUAGUGUUUUUUAUGCCCCUGGAACCCCUUUUAAUUUAUUAACCAUUAGUAGUCUAAUUCGUUCUCAUGAUUAUGUUAUUUCUUUUACCAAAAACUCUGUUCACAGGACCAGAGUUCAGGACAGAUAUUUGGCACCAGAUUUGAGUCUCAUGUCUUUUAUCAUCUCUGCCCUUGUACACAUGUUGGCAUAGUUUUGCAUACUAUCUUUCUCAGCAUCCAUACCUAUUUUUCCCUCUUUCGUUCAUUUCAUGACAGAUUUCUCACUUCCUUCUAAGCCCCUCCCAUGACUCAUGAGUUCUUGCAGCAUUUCUUUUAUUUCUUGGACGAUUUCCCUUAAAUCUUGCAUACUGUCUUCUUUGUUUUUUUUUUUUUUUCUGUCAUGGCUCUUCCUUGUUUGAUGGCCCCUCUAUCCAAAGUACUUUACUUUGUCUUCCAUGCUUUCACAUCUUCCUCUAUCCGGAAAAUUUGUUAGGUUCUUAGGUAGAGAAAGCCAAGAAAACUACUAUAAAACACCAAAGCUUACCGAAAAGAUAUGGUAUUAUUGAUUCUAAGCACCCAGGAUAGCAAGAAUGCCUCCAAGGGACAAAGCUCCCUUACAUGAUGGUAAUGAUCCUAUCAACAAUUCUCUAGACAUCCAAAAACAACUCACCACCUCGCACCCCUCCCCCGGCACACCCCCUCCCCCUCCCCAACCCCAACCCAUCCCACCUACAAACACCUCCUCCACUAUAUAAAGAAAGUCUCACUCAACCCUAACAACCCAACUAACAACUAAUUUUUUAAUUUGUUUCCUCAUAUCAUACACAUUGAUUGUCAUUUCAUUUAAGAAAAGAUUAUAUAUGGAGACAUCAAGACUGAGUUUGUCAACGCAAAUGAUCAAUUAGCAGUUAUUUUCAUUAAGUCUUUACGGAGACCGAGAAUUGAUUAUAUUUGUAAAGAGUUUGAUACAUACGAUUUAUAUGCACUAACUUAUAUAUUACGUUUUAUGUUAAUUAGAGAAACAUAGUUCCUAUGUUAAUUAUGUUAUUUUUACUAUUUAUUUAUAUUUGGCUUAACCCACAAUCUCAUUAUUAUAAUUACAUUACUCUAUACGUAUUUUUUAUACAAGGAAGAUUUAUCAUAUACCUAAUUUUACUAUAUUCGACAUUCUUGAACAUAUAUCUACUUUUUAUUUGAUAAAUUUUGAACAUUUAGAAUUAUAUCAUGUAUCAGGUACUAAAGGUCUAUUUCAUUGUGCAGGAUGAUAAAGAUGAGUGGAUGAAUUCCCAUGUAUUAACAUUUUCAGGAAUAGAUUCUUCUUACGCAUUACCUGAUAAUAUAGCUAUUAUAACAUUACAGGUAUAUAUGUCUUCAGCUUAAAGGGAUUUCCUUAUCCUCAAUAGUAUUAGUUCAGUAACAAUUGAAUUUACAGGGCUAAUACAAUGAUGGUAUCAAAACUUUGUUUUCUUUGUGCUGUGUGUGAGGAAGUGCACAUAUGUUAGGCCAUCAAGAUCAGAAGGGUGGAAACAGAGAGAAAGAGAAAGACAUAGAGAAAAAGAAAUCAAGGAACAUUCAGUUCACCAAAAAUAAUUUAUACAUAUCUCUUUCACCUUCUUGUUAUAACUAAUCGAAUACACAUUACUGAUAUAACCAAUGUUCAACAACUGAUGGCUAUGAAAACAAUAAGAAACUAUACUCCAUAAAUUUUUCUGGAACUCGCAGUACAAAUUGAAACCUGAGAAUUAAAGGGUUGAGAAAUUAAUCAAUGAAACCAUAACACGUGUUACUUGUUGUAUAACAAUAACACCUUACCCCACUAAAUGAUCUCUUUUCCUUCUAGAUAGACCUUCAAUUUUGCAACCUCUUGGUUCCUAACAAUUUAUGAAAUCUGUUGUGUUAAAAUUCUAUGGCUUCUAAUAUAUCUAUUUUCUUGGACUUUGCAGGAACUUGAAGAUGGGAGGGUUCUUCUACGGCUAGCACAUCUAUAUGAGGUAUAUCCACUUCAUCUUAUUUAGUAUUUCUCUCGACUUUUUCUUUGACUUAAGAUUUGAAAAGAGAAGUUGUAAUGUUUUAUUGGUACCAUUGCUCUUGUAUGUUUAUUUCAUGAUUUUUCUGGAUUGAAAAUAAAGUGCACUGAUUAAUACAUGAAUGGAGAGAAUGCAUUGUUUUCUUCUAAAAUAAUAAUUGCAGUUUUGUUGGAAUAAAUCAGUGAACCUAUUAGUGUUGGAGAAAACUGUUCCAAGACUUGCACAAGUUUUGUGUAGAAUGGAUUACUGCCAUGGUGAUUGUUUGCCAACUAAAUAAAUACGUCAUGGUUUUUACUUAUGAAUUUUAAGCUCAUUAGAUUAUUCAUAAUCUUUUUCUACUGUAAUUAAUAGUUAAUAGAAAAUUAAUUUGCUUCAUGCUUUGGUCCCUCAUUUUCUUGGCCCAUCAAACUAAUGCACACAGAUUGAAGAAGACAAGGAUCUCUCUGUAACGGCAACUGUGGAGCUGAAAAAGCUCUUCCCUGGGAGGAAGGUAAGUGAUAGGUUUCAUUUCAUGAGAGUAUAAAAUUGUUUUUUACACUUUUUUUAGCUUGAUUUCUAACUCAAGUUCUUUCCUUAAAAAAUAGAUCAAAGAGGUAAAGGAGAUGAACUUAUCUGCCAACCAAGAAAGAACAGAGAUGGAGAAAAAAAGACUUCAUUGGAAAGUAGAAGGCUCUAAUGGAAAUAGACAUGUUUCAAGAGGAGGACCCGUUGAUCCAAAAGAGCUAAAGGUGGAGCUUUCUCCAAUGGAAAUCCGCACUUUUAUCAUUUAUUUUGAUGCUGUUUCAGACCAACUUUUUUAUGCGAUGUAGAACAAAAUCAGUGGUCCAAGUCCUUGCUUUUGAACAAGUAUAUUGGUAUGACACAAAUAUUAAUGUUUCAAAUACUAGUAUGUUUUGCAUAAUUCCAUAUCUUGCUUGAAGAUUAGUUAUAGCCUAUUUCUUUCAUACUCUUAUCUGUGUAGGUUUUACAUAACAUGCUUAUAUUCCACUAAUCAUUCCCUAACUUGUGCAUGUGCAUCAUAUUUUAAAAUUUGUAGAAAAUCAUGUAUAGUCUAACAUGCCAUGACAUGUUUAAUAAAAUCUUUAUGUAAUGAAAAUGAUAAUUAUCAUGAAAUUAUUUGGAACAUGCUACAACAUGAAUUUAAUAAAUAAACAAAUUGUGUUGAUUGUUACAACGAGAACACAUAUUAGUUA
rnacentral:lncRNA from 1 species